rnacentral:rRNA from 1 species
GACGAACCGUGCGAACGUUAUUCGGAAUCAUUGGGCUUAAAGGGCGCGUAGGCGGCGAUGUAAGUUGGAAGUGAAAUCCCAUCGGCUCAACCGUGGAACAGCUCCCAGUACUGCAUCGCUUGAGGAAGAUAGGGGUCCGCGGAACUACCGGUGGAGCGGUGAAAUGUGUUGAUAUCGGUGGGAACGCCAGUGGCGAAAGCGGCGGACUGGACCUUUUCUGACGCUGAGUGCGCGAAAGCUAGGGGAGCAAACGGG